rnacentral:lncRNA from 1 species
GCUAACACAACAAUAUGAUACGCAUAGAUUACGUCAGAUCCUAUCCCUUAGUUAUAAUGCAAAGAGCUGAUGCCUUUCUCCAGUUGGACCUAAGCCCCCUCUUAGAAUUCCCGAACAACACUUAGGCUAGUUUGGCACCUCCAUUUCCCCAAGGUAUUCCCUCCCAGGGGAAAAUGAACUAAUUUUUCUUAGGAAAAUAGAAAUCCCUUAAAAAAAUAAGGUUGUCAAUCCUUGGAAAAAUGAGGUGGCCAAACUAGCCCUGAGGCAACGCAAUCUAGUACCCUAAAUUUCAAGGAGGCUUCCUUGCUCCUAGUACCGAUCACGGCGUUCAUGACGCCUGCAGAAAGAUGCAAAACAAAACAAA